GAGAUUUUAUAUUACACCUCAUCUUUAAUUCACGUAUCCUCCUACACACUAAAGAAUGCUAUAGAUAUUUCCCGCACUGUCAGACCGUGGACAUUUGGCUUAGCUGCGUGAACAAUACUCCAAACAACGAACCUUCGAACUGAGACACUGGAUCUGUAACUCUCAGCCGCCUUAGUCCUGCUCGCCUCGCCACUGCCGCGUGGUUACGUCAAGACAGCGGGCGGCCGCGUUCUAGUUUCCUUAGUACUUGUGCGUCCGUGUCAAUACCGUGUGCUGUAAACUGCUGAACGAACUGAGAUACUCAUUCAGUUUUGGUCGCCUCUCCAUUAUCUCGUGGUGACGUAAAGGUGACGGCCCGUGUGUUAGUUUCCCCGGUAAUUGUGCCUCCGUAACAUUGCUGUGUGCAGUGGUCGUGAGAACUGCGAGGCGGCGGUGUAGACUGUGCCGUGGAGAGCCGCGGGGUGUUGGAAUCGCCUGUCAGUCACCUUGAAGGCGUCAUAUUCCCUCCCUGCUCUUCCCCGUGUCUUCCUGUCGAUGUUGGUACUCUCAGGUGCGGGAACAUGGCAAGAGGUGGCGGCGUUGGCAGCUGGUAAUACACCCUCACAGGUGACCAAGGGCAGUACCGUUGCCAGGUGGCCACACAGCCCCCCUCCUCAUACUGCUGGUGAACCUCAGCGUGACAGAUGAUCUCACUAAGGUUACAGGUCAGAGAGAUUACCUGUAUUUACAUCUAAGAUCUCUAGAUGGACGGUACUUGGAACUGAAUCCUGAGACGAAUCAUCUUGGCAGCGCGAGACUCAAGGGACGAGGCUGAUAUGAUUGUGUGUGGCGUAAAUAACAAGCCAGCGUCAAGUACACGAGUUGGGACGAAACGACACCGUGACGCAGUGGGCCUCUGGUCUCGUGGAGAGUGAUCUGCCGCAAGAGGAAGAAUGCACGUGAGUUUUGUCCUGGCCAAGGAAUUCCGGAUAACGCAGGUGUUUGGGAGAGUGGAUGAUCAGACAGGACUGAGUAGAUGCUGAGUCUCGGGAGUGAACUGUGUGGUGCAGGACUGUAGCGGUUAUGCAGUCUCUUUAUAACGAGAGACACAUCGUGGAGGAGGCUGGCGAGUGCUCUCAACACACGUGAAGGAGCGGCGCCAUGGUAACUGUCACCGUGGCCAGGAAGUCUCUUGUGCUGAACACUACAAUGUUGUGUUAUCAAGACUGUUUAUUGGUGCAGCGCAUACAGUCGGAUCACUAAGCGUGUUGUAGUGAUGAAACUAUGGAAACUAUGGCGAAUGAUUAUUGAUCGUUGGAAAAAAGCAUAGGUGUGAUAAUAAUUCGGUGCUUGAGUUACACUAACACUCCAUCACUACCGCCACCACGGCCAUCACCACCAUCACCACCGCCAUAACCACCGCCGCUACUAAGAAUCCGUGUCGUGGCAUCAUGAGGGAAAGCAGCUUGUGUGCUGUCAUCGGGACGGGGCGCUCACAACUUGGAAUCUCACACAAACCUCUCCCAGACCCACCUCUAAUAUCUUCCACCACGGUAAGCCGAGGGUCAUUAUCCACUCAUCUACCUGUACAUUAGCGGCGCCAGGUGAGCAUAGACUAGAGAUUCCUUCAUUACCUUACCUGUUCUUACCUGUUGUGUGCAAUUAAUACUUUACCUGUGUUGAUUACCUUUGUUUUACCUGGCAGUGUCUCGUUCUUAUUCACCUUGCCUCUGUCAGCACAACGAGACCGCCUCCUCUUGUCCUUCAGGUGUGGGAGUGAAGGAAAGGAGUGAAGGAGGUAAAAAGCGAAGACGAAUA